rnacentral:rRNA from 1 species
UACAGAGGGUGCGAGCGUUAAUCGGAAUUACUGGGCGUAAAGCGUGCGUAGACGGUUAUUUAAGUCGGAUGUGAAAGCCCCCGGCUCAACCGGGGAACUGCACGGGAAACUAGCAGGCUUAAGUUCGGGAGAGGGAAGCGGAAUUUCGGGUGUAGCGGUGAAAUGCGCAGAUAUCCGAAGGAACACCGGUGGCGAAGGCGGCUUCCUGGACCGACACUGACGCUGAGGCGCGAAAGCUAGGGGAGCAAACGGG